rnacentral:ncRNA from 5 species
GGAAGUAAAAGUCGUAACAAGGUUUC